rnacentral:rRNA from 2 species
GGGGSGKGCCUAUAMUGCAGUCGAGCGAACUGAUUAGAAGCUUGCUUCUAUGACGUUAGCGGCGGACGGGUGAGUAACACGUGGGCAACCUGCCUGUAAGACUGGGAUAACUUCGGGAAACCGAAGCUAAUACCGGAUAGGAUCUUCUCCUUCAUGGGAGAUGAUUGAAAGAUGGUUUCGGCUAUCACUUACAGAUGGGCCCGCGGUGCAUUAGCUAGUUGGUGAGGUAACGGCUCMCCAAGGCAACGAUGCAUAGCCGACCUGAGAGGGUGAUCGGCCACACUGGGACUGAGACACGGCCCAGACUCCUACGGGAGGCAGCAGUAGGGAAUCUUCCGCAAUGGACGAAAGUCUGACGGAGCAACGCCGCGUGAGUGAUGAAGGCUUUCGGGUCGUAAAACUCUGUUGUUAGGGAAGAACAAGUAYRAGAGUAACUGCUYGUACCUUGACGGUACCUAACCAGAAAGCCACGGCUAACUACGUGCCAGMGGCCCGCGGUKAA